GCUGACAGCAGACAGCCCAACGUGGGGCUUGAUCUCAUGAAUGACACUUUCAUGACCUGAGCCAAAGUCAGAUGUUUAUCCGACUGAGGCACCCAGACGCCCUGGAACCUGUGUCUUCUACACCCUCUGCCCCAGGGUUCCUUGCCUCCUCCAUCUCACGCUGGCACCGCGAUGGGCCAGCUGAGGUGAGAGCCCCCUCAUUCCCAUGGGCAGGCCGGGACUCUGCUGCUCUGUGCUUUUAGGGCAGGGUGGCCCCCUCUGACGACUCAAUCUAGGGGAGAACUUGCUGAUGGGCAGGGCAAGGAGCAGGCCCAGGAACUUGACCGAGAUGACCGUGGGUCCACAUCCGCGGAGGGGCCUAUCCCAGGAUGCCCUCUGGGGUCCGUAUUGGGUUUCGCUGAGGCCUUGAGGGUUACAGAGAACUACAGGCCUCAGUGUCUGCAGGACCUCCCAGACAGGGACACAGGAUUGGGGAGGAAAGUGGUCCGGGGCUCCCAGGGAGGAGAGGGACAUUUAGAUGAGAACUCCAGCCCUCCAGAGGGAAGAGACCGAGCAGGAGCAAAGACAGUACUGUUGCUCCUGGCUGUGAGGAGAGGCUCUGGAAGGCCCUGCCCCCUGGGUAAGCUUUCAGAACGACUCCCAGACCCGUCCUCAAGUCCUCUUUUGUACAGAGCCUUCAGGUUGGGGCCUUAGGAGAUGUGAGUUGCCAAGGUCCAGCCAUAGCCGCUGAGGCCUCGGAGGAGACUCUCCCAAGGGACUGGGUGCAGUGGGCAUCUGACCCUGGCCGCCUGGGCUGUCCCUGCCUGGGCCUGCAUGCCUCAGGCCUGCGUCCCGGUUCUCACACUCCCUAUCCUCACACGGAAUGUAGACGAUGGGCCAGGCUGGCACCUACCCCUUCCCGGUCCUCGUGGGACGCUCUUUGGGACAGAAUCCUCAGUGAGGUGCUCCUUCCUAUCUGUCCAAGACGGAGCUUAUAUCAGGGAUCCCUGAGGCCAGUACUCGGGAGGGAGAGCAGUCUCGACGAGGCUUGUGAAAGCCCGAGGAGAGGCUGAAGGUGGACCCAUCUCUCUGCCAUUUCUGGGCCAGACUGACUCCAAGGGACCAGGGGGCAGCAGUGAGACCCGACAUACACACACGAGGAGGCACCAAGAGUUAUUAUCCAUUGAAUGAAGGGUGGAGAUCCUUUCUGGAAGCCAUGAUGCUUUGGCAGAUGUCACAAGGAUUCACCUUCCAUUCCACUCCUGGGAUGUUAAAAUUGGGGAGCUAUCCAGACUGACUGGCUAGAGCCCCUCAUUUUACAGAGGUGAGAGAGAUGGCCGGGGCCCUAGCCAUAGCUGCAGAAAGAUCACAAAAGGUUAAUGGAAGGCAGAGGAUGGCAAUUUGACCAUACACCUGUUUGACUCGUCAUUUGUUGUCUCAGAGACAGAUCCAGGCCCGGGGGCUCCUGGAUGUCGCCACAGGCACUGCCUUCUGUCCCAGCGAUUCAAAACAAAUAUUGAGUGAUGAUUGGUGCUAACAGUCACUCCCAGCAGCCCUCUGCAGUUGAUAGGAUCUUGCCUUGCACAUGUCCUCAUUUGUUCUCGUCAUGGCUCUGAAAGGUAGCCCCUGUUGCCUAUCCCCAUGUCACAGAUGAGGAAACUGAGGCUCAAAGAAGUUAAAGACUUGGCCGGGCUCACUCAGAUACCAAGAGGCAGAGCAAGACUCAUCCUCAUUCAUUUCGCAUCUUUACCCUUAGUUCUUCCUGCUGCAGCAAAAUUCCUUCUGGGAUUACCAUCUUCUUCCCACCUCGGUUUUUCUGGGCACGAGCCUCGGCCCCGGCCUGACAUUUGCUCUGGGAAGAAUCCAGUUCUGAGGCUGAGCUCAGGCAAAGGACCUCACUGAGGCCUCGGGAUGGUGAUGAAGACCACGACGAGAGGCAAGACUGUGCAGUGACCUAAUCACAAGGGCAAGCCGUUGGCACCCGAUGCACCAGGGCUCUCUAGCUUAGCGAGCUUGAGCACAUGCCUCAACAUUUUUGCCUCUGUUUCUUCAUCCAUAAAAUAGCAAUAAUAUGAGAAUCUCGCUUGAGGAUGUGGCGAACAUACACUGAGAUAAUACACAGAAAGGCCUUGG